rnacentral:rRNA from 1 species
GUCGGGGGAGCAAUUUCUCGGUGACGCAGCUAACGCGUGAAGUUGACCGCCUGGGGAGUACGGUCGCAAGAUUAAAACUCAAAGGAAUUGACGGGGACCCGCACAAGCGGUGGAUUAUGUGGAUUAAUUCGAUGCAACGCGAAAAACCUUACCUACCCUUGACAUGUAGCGAACCUGGUGGAGACACUGGGGUGCCCGAAAGGGAACGCUAACACAGGUGCUGCAUGGCUGUCGUCAGCUCGUGUCGUGAGAUGAUGGGUUAAGUCCCGCAACGAGCGCAACCCUUGCCGUUAAUUGCCAUCAUUGAGUUGGGCACUUUAACGGGACUGCCGGUGACAAACCGGAGGAAGGUGGGGAUGACGUCAAGUCCUCAUGGCCCUUAUGGGUAGGGCCUCACACGUAAUACAAUGGCGCAUACAGAGGGUAGCGAAAGCGCGAGCUGGAGCCAAUCCUGAAAAAGUGCGUCGUAGUCCGGAUCGGAGUCUGCAACUCGACUCCGUGAAGUCGGAAUCGCUAGUAAUCGCGGAUCAGCAUGUCGCGGUGAAUACGUUCCCGGGUCUUGUACACACCGCCCGUCACACCAUGGGAGUGGGUUUCACCAGAAGUAGUUAGUCUAACCGCAAGGGGGACGAUUACCACGGUGAGAUUCAUGAC